rnacentral:rRNA from 1 species
UACAGGGGGUGCAGACGUUGCUCGGAAUCAUUGGGCGUAAAGCGCACGUAGGCGGUCUGUUAUGUCGGAUGUGAAAGCCCUUGGCUUAACUGAGGAAGUGCAUCCGAAACUGGCAGGCUAGAGUACUAAAGAGGGUCGCGGAAUUCCCGGUGUAGAGGUGAAAUUCGUAGAUAUCGGGAGGAACACCGGUGGCGAAGGCGGCGACCUGGGUAGAUACUGACGCUGAGGCGCGAAAGCUAGGGGAGCAAACAGG